rnacentral:rRNA from 1 species
AUGAACGCUAGCGGCAGGCCUAACACAUGCAAGUCGAGGGGCAUCACGAGGUAGCAAUACUUUGGUGGCGACCGGCGCACGGGUGCGUAACGCGUAUGUAACCUACCUAUAACAGGGGCAUAACACUGAGAAAUUGGUACUAAUUCCCCAUAAUAUUCGGAGAGGCAUCUCUCCGGGUUGAAAACUCCGGUGGUUAUAGAUGGACAUGCGUUGUAUUAGCUAGUUGGUGAGGUAACGGCUCACCAAGGCAACGAUACAUAGGGGGACUGAGAGGUUAACCCCCCACACUGGUACUGAGACACGGACCAGACUCCUACGGGAGGCAGCAGUGAGGAAUAUUGGUCAAUGGACGCAAGUCUGAACCAGCCAUGCCGCGUGCAGGAAGACGGCUCUAUGAGUUGUAAACUGCUUUUGUACGAGGGUAAACUCACCUACGUGUAGGUGACUGAAAGUAUCGUACGAAUAAGGAUCGGCUAACUCCGUGCCAGCAGCCGCGGUAAUACGGAGGAUUCAAGCGUUAUCCGGAUUUAUUGGGUUUAAAGGGUGCGUAGGCGGUUUGAUAAGUUAGAGGUGAAAUCCCGGGGCUUAACUCCGGAACUGCCUCUAAUACUGUUAGACUAGAGAGUAGUUGCGGUAGGCGGAAUGUAUGGUGUAGCGGUGAAAUGCUUAGAGAUCAUACAGAACACCGAUUGCGAAGGCAGCUUACCAAACUAUAUCUGACGUUGAGGCACGAAAGCGUGGGGAGCAAACAGGAUUAGAUACCCUGGUAGUCCACGCAGUAAACGAUGAUAACUCGUUGUCGGCGAUACACAGUCGGUGACUAAGCGAAAGCGAUAAGUUAUCCACCUGGGGAGUACGUUCGCAAGAAUGAAACUCAAAGGAAUUGACGGGGGCCCGCACAAGCGGAGGAACAUGUGGUUUAAUUCGAUGAUACGCGAGGAACCUUACCCGGGUUUGAACGUAGUCUGACCGGAGUGGAAACACUCCUUCUAGCAAUAGCAGAUUACGAGGUGCUGCAUGGUUGUCGUCAGCUCGUGCCGUGAGGUGUCGGGUUAAGUCCCAUAACGAGCGCAACCCCUACCGUUAGUUGCCAUCAGGUCAAGCUGGGCACUCUGGCGGGACUGCCGGUGUAAGCCGAGAGGAAGGUGGGGAUGACGUCAAAUCAGCACGGCCCUUACGUCCGGGGCUACACACGUGUUACAAUGGUAGGUACAGAGGGUCGCUACCCCGCGAGGGGAUGCCAAUCUCGAAAGCCUAUCUCAGUUCGGAUUGGAGGCUGAAACCCGCCUCCAUGAAGUUGGAUUCGCUAGUAAUCGCGCAUCAGCCAUGGCGCGGUGAAUACGUUCCCGGGCCUUGUACACACCGCCCGUCAAGCCAUGGAAGCUGGGGGUGCCUGAAGUUCGUGACCGCAAGGAGCGACCUAGGGCAAAACCGGUAACUGGGGCU